GCAGGUAGGAAGACAAAAAAACAAACAAACACACACACAAAUAAAAAUUUCUCACUAAACUAAAGUAGGCCAACAACAACAUAAGCAAGAACAACACAAUAAAUAUCAACAAAUUGGUGGUGAUUUUCAUUUCAAAUAUUUAAAUCUUCCCCCGGCUUUAUAAAACUCGCCUUAAUUACUAGCAAAUGAUAUUUGUGCGAAGGACCACCAAAUGUGCCAUAAAUCCCUACAAUUAAGCACUUUAUCAAAAGCUUCUGUAUGCAAAACUGCAGGCCAUCCAUACAUGGAAAAAGGAGCCCAGCAACUCCCUGUACAAGCUGAGCAAACAUUCCUUAACAAUUUAUAACACUUGCACAUGCUCUCGUUUUAAAUACCUACCCAAAAAAAGAGGAAACUUUACAAUAACUACAAACUAUAGCUGCAAAAUUUAAUAGGUUGCGUGUUCUGGCCAAGAUUACAACAGGCGACACUCAGUGGGACUUUAUAUAGCUUAUGGCAGCAAGUGUGUCGUCGUCCUGCACCAUAACCACAUAUCAAUUUAUGGACAACUUCCAGGCCAUACAUAAUAAGGAUUUAAAGUUUAAUAUUUUAUUUUUCUCAACCUUUUUUUCUAUUUUUUACGUUCUUCUUGUUUAAUCUCUAGGAGAACAUAAAAAUCCAUAAAAAAUUGUGUUUUUAUAGAGAUUACAGUAGGAAAUAUAUAAAAAAAAAUCAUGAAAUAAAAUAUAUAAAAAUGAACUGCAUACUGCAGGUGCUAUCAUCUGCAGUUUCAAUUAAAACUGUAUAAUAAAAUUUUAUGG